CAGGACCAGUGUGAGCAGGAUGACAAACCCCAGCAUGAAGACAAUCCUAGGGAAAGUCAAGAAAAGGUGCUGCAGAGAAAGAGAGAACUAAUCACUGGAAUGGAGAUUCCUGCUCUAUGAACCAGAUCUGCUGAGCGACAGAUCCUGGAGAGGGGAACCUGUAGGAUGGGAAGUGCUGCGAGAAAAACCCAUUUCUCAGGUAUUCAGCAGUGGCAGUUUUCUAAAUCUAGUUUUACGUAUAAAACAGCUGAAACCCUGCAGUCUGUCCCCAAAGCCUGCAGUCUGUCCCCAAAGCCUGCAGUCUGUCCCCAAAGCCUGCAGUCUGUCCCCAGAGCCUGCAGUCUGUCCCUGUGCUGGGGGAACAGGACGCGGUUCCUGACAGCAGAGCGCGAGCCGGAGCGUCGCACAGCACGGACUGACCUGAACGAGGAGGGGGAUCUCCACGGGCUGCUCCUGUCCCUGGGCAUCCAGGUAGGUGCCGUGCAUGAUGUUGGAGAGCAGCAGCACCUGGAUGAGGAAGGCAGCUGUGACAGCAGCCACGGCGCCGGCGGUGGCCGUCAGGGACAGCAGGUACAGCAGGAACAGGCCCGCGUUGCCAGCCCCGAUGCAGUUGUUCACCCACACACAGUGGUGGUCAAAGCGAUGCACACACGUCCUGCAGACACCUCCAGGAGGCAGGGGCAAAACAAGAGCCUUGGUGUGGGAAUCCAAAUUCCUCUGACUGCCCUGGAGGGCUCCAGCCCCUGCCUGGGGGCUCAGCAGCCUGGCACAGAGCCCAAGACCCCUGUGCCUUGGAUUUUGACCCAUGGAGCAAAUCACCACCUUGGAUUUUGACCCAUGGAGCAAAUCACCACCUUGGAUUUUGACCCAUGGAGCAAAUCACCACCUUUCUAUGAAGAAUUACAAGUCAAGAAAGUUUAAGUAGAAUAAUAGUCAGUUUGUCACGGGGUGAAAAAUAGAUUUUUGAGGUUUUUAGAAUGGGGGCUCGGGGUCCCAAGAUGGAGGGAUUUGGGUGUAGACUGUCCUUCUUCCUCCUUCUUCUGAGCCUCCAUGUUCUGGGUGAUGGUGGCACUUCUGCUUUGGUUUAAGGGAGAAGCUCACUGUCUAACAUAGCUGACAGGUACUGGGAAGUGAUGGUAAAUAAUGUACAGGUAGUUUUUAGUAUAAAAAGGUAACACCAGUGUGCCUCAAGCCGACCUGCCAGACAGACCUAUGGCAGGUUGGAGAAAGAAUGUUGCAGGUAAGAAAUUAUAAACAACCUUGAGGACGAGAACAGAAGAAUCCUGACUCCUUCUUUGACUGCUGGGCUGGGAAAAAGAGGCUUGCACGUAUCUCAGAGUCACUCUGACCAGCAGAGAUUCUGAGAUCUUGGCACUUCAUUUUUAAAUAAGCAGAUUGAUCUUUAGGUGUUUUUUAUGCUGAAAAUAUGUGGGAGUUGCAGUCAGGGUUCAGCUGGCAGCUUUUGAGGCAAAUAAAUUCAUCUGUGCAUCCUAAGAAAAACAACAUAUUCCAUUUCCUCUUUAAUUCAUCAAGACUGCAGCUCCAGGUUUGUCUGACAGUACUGCCUGGCAAAGCACCUGCAAGGCAGAGAUUGGAGCUCCCACCUUUAUUUUAGAUGACAAAAAGAGGUGGUGGACUUCUCAUCCCUGGCAGUGUUCCAGGUUGGGCUGGCAGGGCUUGGAGCACCCUGGGCUCGUGGAAGGUGUCCCUGCCCUGGCAGGGGCUGAUGUGAGAUGGGCUUUAGAGAUCCCUCCCAGCCCAAGCCACGACAGGGCUCUGUGACUAUGAAACAGAGAAUCCUGAUCUGAGGUCCUGACAGCUGAUAACUUCUCAUUUAUAAUUCCAACUCCUCACAAGCUCAGCUAUUCCUGACCCUGAAUUACCCCUCAGAACUGGCAAUUUCUGCGAGAAGAAACAGCACCCAAGCAGCUCCAGGGAUGGGCAAGUGCAGCUGUGACCUGGGACCCCAGGAACACAAACACAGCCCUGUGAGCACUCAGCUGGUAACAGAACAGCUGUAGUGGGAACUGCAGCUCCUGGGGGAGAAAUCCUUUGGGAAGCUCUUACUGCCAUGGUAAUCAAGGAAUUUCAGAUCCUUACUGCAGUGCUUGGACCUGGCUGGUUUCUCCACGCUGCACGUGGGACACACGAGGCCUCUCUGGAACAACACCCCAUCGUAGGCAUAGACCUUAGCCAGGGAUGCAGCAUUGGAUUUCGUCACUGUACCUGCCAGAGAGACAGGAAAAAGAACUAAAAAAUGGGAUCUGUGGCACUGUUUUCUGUUGUCAAAGAGCGUGGGUGUGAUCUCACCAGGGUUGGCCCGGGAGCAGAGCAGGAAGCAGCCCAGGUUGCCAGCCAGCAGCAGGUAGGGCAGGAGCAGCAGGAGGAGGUGGAACUGCAGCUCCCAGCAGUACACAAACACCUCCCAGGUGUACUCCCCAAACACUGCAGCCUGCAGGGCCACGUGCAGGACCACAAACAAACAGCUCCUGCCAAGGAAAGGGGACAGUCUGUUUAACACUCAGCAUCCUGAUUAACAGGUCAAGUACACUCAGAGGUGAUCAAAGACUUUCCAAAUGCAAGGAGACACCUCUUUUGGGUUUUCAGGCCAGCUUGGAUUGCAUAUUAAUAGUGUUUUCUCCAUCCACUGGCUUCUCCUUCUCUUCUUCCCACAUAUACUCCUUUAAAUAUGUCAGCUAAAUUCCCUGCUUUAUUCACAUGUACUUUGGAUUUUUCCCCCUGUCAGUACAAAGGCUUAUAAUCACUUGCUGCUGACAAAAUAUGCCACAGCAAUAGGCCACAAAACAUUCUGCCAGAAGAUAUUUGCUACUCUGAAAGCAAAGAAAAUAAUCUUUUCAACUCUGCAAUAAGAGAACCAGCUGCUAGGAAAUAAGGGUGGCAGGAGGGCACCCUUAAAUAAAUAACUGGGCAGUGAGCAGCAGUUGCAGAGUAUGUGGAGAUUCCCAGUGCCCCCAGCACCUCUGACAGUGCCACCUCUCUGUCUCAGGCUGUGUUUGAGCAGAGGAUCAGCAGAACAGGCACAAAACCACCCCAGCACUCUCCACACAGCUGCAGAUUUACAGCCCUGAAGUCACUGUCACAGUGAGCUGCUGUCCCCAGAGAAAAGGUAUUUAAAUCCUUCCUGAGGCACCAGAGUUUCCAGACACACAAAAUGCACCUGAAUGCAGCAGGCUGCUGUGCAGCUUCCCCCUCAGCCCCCGGGACACCCAGGCUGCUGGACUGACACUGAUGGGAUUUGAGGGAGAGGCUGGAGACAGAGUCUGUCUGACUCCACCUGCAGCUGCCAGAGAGGCUCUGGUAAUUCCUCUGGGGAUGCAGGAUCCCACCAGUGUGACCAACAUCUGUUACUGAGCCACAUUAUCUUCAUUUGUCAAUAUGUUCCAACAUUUCAGGGCUCCACCCUCCAAACAACCAGCAGGGAAGGCAGAGACAGCAGCGUGGCAAACCUCCAAGGGAAUCUGGAACCCCUGACAGGCAUUCCAAACGGAGACAGGAUUCCUGAGGAUAACACCAGAGCUCUGCUGGCGGCAGGAGAUCCCAACAGUCACCAGAAAUCAGAGUAGAAACGAAUGCCAAAGGCAUGAAAGUGCAAUACCUUGUGUGGAAGAGCCUGUGCAGUGCCUGCUGUGCCACCCUCUGCAGCUGCCUGGGGAUCACCAGUGACAGCACCUGAGGAAAUGAAGCUCUGGGUCACCUGGCCAGCACUGCUGCCUCGGGGCAAGCUCAGAUUUAAGUACAAGUCCCUCUUCCCUCAGCUCUGGACCUGCACAGCCCCAGCACUGGGGAGGAGGCUCCUUUUCAGGAGCUUCUCACCACAGAAUCAAAGGUGGGAGAGACCUUCAAGACCAUGAAGUCCAGCCAUGACACACAGAAUCACAGAAGGCUGGACAAGCCCUGCCAGCUCCUGGAGUCCAAGCUGUGCCAAAUCCCACCCUGUCCCAGCCCAGAGCUCUGAGUGCCACCUCCAGUCCUUCCUUGGACACCUCCAGGGAUGGGGACCCCAAACCUCCCAUGCCUGAGCCCCCUCUCCAUGAAGAAGGAAGAGAGGCAGGAAUACUGCUGGGAUUCCACAGGGGACUGAGGUUCCACACUCCUGGGAGCCCCCCAGGCCCAAACAAACAUAUCUGGGUUAAUGUGUGAAAGUUCUAAGGAGCUUAGGGGGGCCUGGGGUGGGGCUGGCUUAAGCAGGGGAUAGACCUGAGCAAUUCCCCAGCUACAAUAUGCUCCAUCAGCCCAUCUGACAGAUCGGGGGGAGAUAAGCAAAGGGAGAAAGCUUGUGGCCUCCAGAAAAGAGAGGGGGGAAAAAAGAGCCAGCCAAAGCCCCAGAAAUGCAGUUUGUGCAGCUCCAGCCCAUGGCUCCAUGUCCAAUUGCCCCUUCCAGCACAGCUGAAGGAGGAGCUGCCCCUGCUCAGAGGGACUCCCCCAGGCAGGGCUGUGCCUGAGGAACUGUCUGCUCAGAGCUGACAGAUCCCUACAGGAGGAAUUGUCUGGCAGAUCCCUGCAGGAGGAAUUGUCUGCUCAGAGCUGGCAGAUCCCUGCAGGAGGAAUUGUCUGGCAGAUCCCUACAGGAGGAAUUGUCUGGCAGAUCCCUGCAGGAGGAAUUGUCUGCUCUGAGCUGGCAGAUCCCUACAGGAGGAGUUGUCUGGCAGAUCCCUGCAGGAGGAACUGUCUGCUCUGAGCUGAGAGAUCCCUACAGGGGGAAUGGUCUGGCAGAUCCCUGCAGGAGGAAUUGUCUGCUCUGAGCUGAGAGAUCCCUACAGGGGGAAUGGUCUGGCAGAUCCCUACAGGAGGAAUUGUCUGGCAGAUCCCUACAGGAGGAAUUGUCUGCUCUGAGCUGACAGAUCCCUACAGGAGGAAUUGUCUGGCAGAUCCCUGCAGGAGGAAUUGUCUGCUCUGAGCUGGCAGGUCUCUAUAGCAACACAGCAAUCAGAGAGGCUGCACCUAUUUCUAGCUGACACGGAGGGAAAAUAUGCAGCGAGAGCUUCUUGCCUCAGAUGUGAAAGACCAGGAGGCAAAAAGCAUAUGUGGAGCUGAGAAGAUGCUAAAUAUUUUGGUGAGAACUGGUGCGUCUCAGCUCGGUGGAUUGAGGGAGGAGUGUUUGCAAAAAGAAGGUUUUUUCCAAGUGUGCUGUAAGAGGAAACACAACCCAGCAGAAAAGAACCUGCAGGAAACCUCAGCACUCUGCAGGCUAAAGCCAAGUGCCCUCAGCUGCUCCUCCAUGGCCCCUGCAGGUCCUUCACCACCCCGUGUCCAUCCCUGGGUGCUCUCUAAGAGCUUCAGACCCUUCUGAUUUUCUGGGGUUUGCAUUGUAUUGCUCCUUAUAAUCUCUUACCUUCUAUUGUGACCUUACAUUUAGCAUUGCCUGUAUUUAUAUCCCAGGUAAAACAUGGAUUAUAUUCACGUGUAUUUAUUUCCCAGGCACAAGUAUUGAUUGGAUUCCUCCAGACAGUGGCUUCACACCACAGCAGUAAUUUAAUUGCUGCUGUUUAGACACUUCAUAGCAGCAGCCAUUAAGAUAUGGGGGGAAAAAAUCAAUUUCUCUGCACAGUGUGUCUAUAAACCAAAAGGAAGCAUAAUACCAGUAAUAAAAAAAGUCUGUCUGAA